CCCCCCCCCCCCAACCUCCCCUCUUCCUCUCCUUGGGGAGGCUGAACCCUUGCAUAGACUCGCCCUAAAAGAAUCUGAGCCGAGGGUUCCUAGAGAUGAAGAGACGGGGGAAACAGGUUUCCACUGCUCUUUGCUCGGAUUGGGGGCCGGUUGCCCUCUCGUCGUCGUCUGCGUUCCCUGAGCUGGGAGGCUCUCGCGGGAGUGGUGGCGGGUGUUCCUUAAAGGCUUGUAAGCAUUGUCUGAAGGGCGGUGGUGAGAGCAGGCAGUCCGAGAGGGCUCUCUAUUCUUUCUCACACCAGGGCUCCAAGAACACUGUGUCCAAGGGUGUGGUUUUCCUCCUUGAAGAUAACCUUGAAGAUACCCUACAAACGUUCUUAUUUUCCAUAUUAACCCAUUAUAGGAGGGGUAUAAUGCGAUUGUUCAAAUCUUUCUUAGAAAAGUUGUUAUUUUCAGUGGUAUUAUCUAAAGAUGUUUAGGUAGUAAGUUCCAUAAAUUAACAACACGGGGGGGGGGGAGCUGGUUGUUGUCUUAUUUGUGCAGAACUUUCCUUUUUCAAGUGCCAAGGAGUAUUAGCAAGCUCUGUUAAAGUGGGAUUUGGUGGAAACAUCUAAAUUCUGUCCACGUCUUCCCUAUUUUCUCUGCUUUUCUUGCAUUCCCUCAGUGUGUUUGGAAGAGAAGGAAGAGCAUUUAGGCUUAUGAAUUUGAUAUCCCAAACCCCUUGUGUGACCUUGGGCAAGUCUUUCCUACUCCUCUAUUUCUUCAUCUGGAAAACAGCUUUAGCAUAAAGCUUAAGUGAGCUAAUAGAACAGGCAUCAAGUGGAAGCCUAAUAGGGCAGCCCCAUGAGACUGCCACACUCUUACUUCCUUAGUGUAUCAGUCAUCCAGCUCUAGAGUAUGCUGUGUAACAAACUACCCCAAAACCCAGUGCCUUAAAAUAUUAAUCAUUUAUUUUUGCAUGUUCAUCUACAGGUCAGUCAGCUGCUGCUGGUUUGGACCAGGCUGGGCUUGGUUGCAGGUUGCCAGCUGAAUCUAGGUCUGCAGGACCAGGAACUAGCUGGUGCUUAUUCUUCUCAAGGUCCUGGGAGUUUACUCCGUGCAUCCAGGAGAUAGGAAAAGAGGAAACAAAUACAAGACUGCACUGGAGUUUUUAUGGACCAGUCUUAGAGCCAGCUGCCAUGUUGUGAGCAGUUCUACGGAGAGGACCACGGAGUGAGGGAGCGCCAGUCUGUGGCCAACAGCCAGUGAGGAGCUGAGGCGAUCAACAAGCGAGUUUGGAAGCAAGUCCUCCGGCCCCAGGUGAGUCUUCAGAUGGCUGCAGCUCUGGGUGACAAUUUGACUGUAACCUUCUGGGACACCCUGAGCCAGAACCUCCCAGCCAAGCCAUUCCCAGAAACUGUGAGAUAGUAAGUGUUUGCUGUUUUAUGCUGCCAGGGUUAGGAAUAAUUUGUUAGUCAGCAAGAGACAAACUCAUUCACUAUCAAAAGUGGGGAGAACAGAUAGGUCAAGAGUACCAUGUAGUUAAAAAAAUUAAGAAAGAGCUUAUUUGUCUGUGGAAGUAAAGAAUAUUUAUAUCAUUAGGAAGCCUGCCGUAGUAAGAACUAUGGUAUAUGGGAAGGAUGAGACAGUCUUCAUGAGCCAGGCCGAUUUUACUUCCUCACGUGCUCUACCUGGCCCCUUUAGGUCUUUAAGUCUUCCAAGCUUGCUAUAAAGCAACGGUUUUCAAAUCGUUUUUGACCUUGAUGAUUGACUCCCUCCCCAAGAAGUGCAUUAAGUACACUUCACACUGUGAUAUGGUAUUCACAUGAGCGCACACAAAUGAAACAGAAGUUCUCUAGAACAAUAUUCACUUUCACUAUGAGUGAUAUAUUCUAAGCUUCUCUGUUGUAUUCAUUUUCAUUUUUUUAAAGCAUUUUCAUUUGGAAAUAAUUAUAGACUCAUGGAAAGUUGCAAAGAUGGUACAACUGAGGUCCCCUGUGUACUCAAUGGUAGCAUCGUGUAUGACUAUAGUGCAGCAUCAAAACCAGGCAACUGACAAUGGUGCAAUCUGCAGACCUUUCUAGAUUUCACCAGUUUAUUAUGUGCAGUGUGUGUGUGUGUGUGUGUGUGUAUUUCUCUGCAAUUUUAUCACAUGUACAGAGUUGUACAACCACUACAAUCCAGAUACAGACGUAUUCCAUCACCACAAAGGGAAAUCCCUUGUGCUACACCUUUAUAGGGUCACCUACCCCCACUCUUCCCCGACUCAUAGCCCCUGGCAAACACAAUCUAUCCUCUGUCUCUAAAAUUUUGUCUUUUGAGAUUGGCUUUUCUCACUGAGCACGAGGCCCUUGGGAUCCAUUCAAAUUGUGGAGUGUACCACAAGUUCAGUCCUUAUUAUUUCUGAGUGGUAUUCCGUGGCAUGAAUGUACCCCUUACUGAAGGCCAUUUGACUGCAGUUUUCAGCUAUUAAAAAUAACACUGCUGUGAACAUUUGUGUACAUUUUUUGGUGCGUGUGGACAUAAGUUUUCAUUUCUCUUGGAUAAUGUCUAGGGAAGUGUUUGCUGGGUCAUAGGGUAAGUGCAUUUUAGUUUUGUAAGAAAUUGCUCAGGGGUCUGCAUGGCUCAGUCAGUUGAGCAUCUGACUCUUGAUUUCAGGUCAGGUCAUGAUCCCAGGGUUGUGGAAUCAAGUCCCAUGUUGGGCUCUGCGCUGAGGAUGAAGCCUGCUUGGGAUUCUCUCUCUGUGUCCCUCUGCCCCUCUUCCUCAGCCCCUCUCCCCUGCUCUCUCUUUCUCUUGAAGGAAGGAAGGAAGGAAGGAAGGAAGGAAAGAAAGAAAGAAAGAAAGAAAGAAAGAAAGAAAGAAAGAAAGAAAGAAAGAAAAGAAAGAAAGAAAAAGAAAUAGCCAAGAAAUU